rnacentral:tRNA from 3 species
GGGCCGUUAGCUCAGUUGGUAGAGCAGCGGACUUUUAAUCCGUUUGUCGCAGGUUCGAGCCCCGCACGGCCCACCA